rnacentral:rRNA from 1 species
CAUGCCCUUUGCUACGGAACAGUCCUGGGAAACUGGGUUUAAUACCGUAUGUGCCCUUCGGGGGAAAGAUUUAUCGGCAAAGGAUUGGCCCGCGUUGGAUUAGGUAGUUGGUGGGGUAAAGGCCUACCAAGCCGACGAUCCAUAGCUGGUUUGAGAGGAUGAUCAGCCACACUGGGACUGAGACACGGCCCAGACUCCUACGGGAGGCAGCAGUGGGGAAUCUUAGACAAUGGGGGCAACCCUGAUCUAGCCAUGCCGCGUGAGCGAUGAAGGCCUUAGGGUUGUAAAGCUCUUUCGCUGGAGAAGAUAAUGACGGUACCCAGUAAAGAAGCCCCGGCUAACUCCGUGCUAGCAGCCGCGGUAAUACGGAGGGGGCUAGCGUUGUUCGGAAUUACUGGGCGUAAAGCGCGCGUAGGCGGAUUGGAAAGUUGGGGGUGAAAUCCCGGGGCUCAACCCCGGAACUGCCUCCAAAACUAUCAGUCUUGAGUUCGAGAGAGGUGAGUGGAAUUGCGAGUGUAGAGGUGAAAUUCGUAGAUAUUCGCAGGAACACCAGUGGCGAAGGCGGCUCACUGGCUCGAUACUGACGCUGAGGUGCGAAAGUGUGGG